GAUGAGAACGUAGCGAAAUGCGAUAAGUAAUGUGAAUUGCAGAAUUCAGUGAAUCAUCGAAUCUUUGAACGCACAUUGCGCCCCCUGGUAUUCCGGGGGGCAUGCCUGUCCGAGCGUCAUUACAACCCUCAAGCUCAGCUUGGUGUUGGGCCCCGCCGCCCCGGCGGGCCCUAAAGUCAGUGGCGGUGCCGUCCGGCUCCGAGCGUAGUAAUUCUUCUCGCUCUGGAGGUCCGGUCGUGUGCUCGCCAGCAACCCCCAAUUUUUUUCAGGUUGACCUCGGAUCAGGUAGGGAUACCCGCUGAACUUAAGCAUAUCAAUAAGCGGAGGA
rnacentral:misc_RNA from 1 species